CCCUUAGAUGUUCUGGGCCGCACGCGCGCUACACUGAUGCAUUCAACGAGCCUAGCCUUGACCGAGAGGUCCGGGUAAUCUUUGAAACUGCAUCGUGAUGGGGCUAGAUUAUUGCAAUUAUUAAUCUUCAACGAGGAAUGCCUAGUAAGCGUGAUUCAUCAAAUCGCGUUGAUUACGUCCCUGCCCUUUGUACACACCGCCCGUCGCUCCUACCGAUUGAGUGUGUUGGUGAGGAGUUUGGAUUGGCCUCGGAAGGUGGUUCGCCACCGUCCGUAGCUGAGAAGUUCUCCAAACCGCCCCACUUGGAGGAAGGAGAAGUCGUAACA
rnacentral:rRNA from 1 species